rnacentral:lncRNA from 1 species
CUUUCGAAAGGGCGUUCAGGCCGCUCAGGCCACUCUUCGUUCUUAUCGACAGACGCUCGCCUGCUCCUCCUCCACCGCCGCUCAGAGGCUGCCCCGGCGGGCUCUGGCCGCCUCCUGUCGGCGCCGCCCCAGCCCGGGCUCUCCAGGGACUCCCGGGGGCGAGGAGGACGCCUGCCUCCCCGCUUUUAGGGGUGGGGGGUGUUUGGGGACGACGGGAGAGCUCCGCGCCUACGUGGACCCCAGCGGGAAGCGUGGCGGGGGAGGGGGGAGAUGGGGGAGGGGAAGGAGAGGGGGGCAGGAACCCCGGACCCAGUGGGCGGGAGGCGGGACCUUGCUCCCUGCUCGUCACCCUAGAGAAAGGGAGAGGCCGGGGUCUAGCCUUUCCGGGCUGGCCUCCCGCUUCGGGUGCUGUGGCUGAGAAGGGGGCGCUAGUGGAAUCCAGCACCGAGGUCUCCUGGAAAGGCAGCCAAGCUAAAACACAAGUUCUAUAACUCGGGCAGGUGCAGAAACAUCAGGAACCAAAACUACCAGGACAGAGAAAUGUGAGAAGCAAAUUAAAUGCCAGAGGUGUAUUCAUAAAGAAGAUUCAGCCAAAAGUCUACUCUGCCAGAUAUGGACUAUUUUCUACUUACCCAAUCAAUGUAGAACAAAUCAGACCUCCCCUCCUCCAGUUGCCAUGAAAUCUCCCUAAGCUCUGGAUCAGGAAGACAGAUUUGAACAUUGUCCCCUGUCUCCUUGUAGGUCUACCUUGCAAUAAAACUCUUUUCUCACAAAACCAAUGCCACGGUGUUGGUCUCUGAGCAUGGGGGGCAGCGAGCCCAGAUCCACAGCCUGGCCGCCUGGGCAUAUACAUGCUGGCAUUGGAUUUCAGGGCUGGGGCCUGGGACGAGUCCCUGCUCCCACAGGUCACAGCUUCUGAGUCUCUGCUUGCCCUCUCUUAUCCUGGAGGGCAGCCUUCAUCAGGAACCGUCGUCCUCGUUCAUUCCUGCCCUUGCCCUCCCCAGGACCGGCAGCAUCUCUUUCAUAAAGGCCCACUAGCUUGCUGAGUGCAGGUGGCCCAAAGGGGCUGAUAAUGUGUAUGCUUUAAAACCCCACCAGAGCCUGGAAGAUCCGCGUGACACCUUCCCACACACCUCGCUCCCCACUCCACACGGCGUGUGCUCCUCCUCCUCUAAGCCGGGUGUGCUGCUCCCUAACCCUUCAGGCUUCUUUGCAGGUCUUCCGAACCCUCCAAGCACAGGCAAUUUCUCUUUCCUAUGCCCGUAAAACUCUUCCCAAGAUAUUCCCUAAGGUCUCUGGCCUUCUUCAGCCUCCUACUCUGUGUAGCUAAUUUGUCGCUCACAUAUCAUCUUAUCACGGAGGCCUUCCUGGUGGCUCUACUGGAGAGAACGGCACCCUCUCUAAAACACAUACCCUGCCCCCUUUCUACUUGUGUUUUCCUUCAGAGCAGUUAGUUCCUUCUGGCAUAGCAUAAAAUUUAUUUUCUACCUACCAGGUUGACAAAGAAAGGAAUUUUUGCCCUUUCAUUCGUGACUGUUUCGUUCACAGCUUCUAAAACUAAGCCCACGCUAGAUGCUCGCGAUACAUUUAUUUGCUGAAUGAACGGAUGGAUGUGCACCCCUUGGCGAGGCGGUGUAAACCAGCGGAACUUCGGCUGACUCCUCAGCAUUUGCCGUUUGCCUCCUCAAGUUGCCAGCAGCUCAGAUUCCAGCACUGUCCAUAGAGUUGGAACUGGCGGUCCUCAAACUUCAGUGUGCAACCGAAUCACCUACAGGGCUUGUGGCCGGGAGCUCUGAUUCAGUAGGUCAGGGUAAGGCCUGAGAAGUUUAUAUUUGUAGCAGGUUCCUCGGUGAGGCCACACUUUGAGAACCACAUUUGGGGCAGUGAUUGGUUCAGAAAUCCACGCUAAAGCCACUCGGCACAGCAGGCCCUGGCUUUUGUCUUUGCACCAGAGGGGUACAUCCUCAUGCUGGUCCAGUCCCCUUGGUCCCAUCUCCUUGAAAGACUGAAAGACAGCUCCUUUCUCCUGUAAGGGCAAAUGCAAAUUUAUAAUCAUGAUAAAGGACUUAAUUCUCCCUGUUGAACAGAAGGAAGAAACUUCCUCCUUCUUCCCAUCUCUCUUCACAUUUACUUUAGAGAACCUAUAAUUGUUAAGUUCCUUUUUCCUUUUCCUUUAAAAUGUAUGCAAAGAACGAAAAGAAAAAAAAAGGAAAGAAAAAGGAAUAAUAAUGAAGGAAAAAAGUAUGUAAAUUUCAGAUUUAUAAGGUUGAAUGAGUUUCUUAUGUGAAAUUGGAAUGAUAAAUGAUUUUAUUAACCAUCUUGAUUUGCUUGAGCUUCCAUUUUAUCCAGGGGAUUAUAAAGAAGAAACAGGCUAAAUGAAGCAGGCUGACAUACCAAUAAUCCUUUGUGAUGUUAAUAAAGACUCCUGCCUCAGUCUGGGAGGAAGAACUGUAAUAAGGAUUUCAAGCUGACUCCAGCAAGGUCUGCUGAUCUUCACCAAAGGACCACAAUCUUAAACCAACAUCCUCUAGGUCACCCUACCCCAACAGCCCCUGUCGCCCCCAUAGUAACCAUAAAUCAUGCCCCUUUACCCCUCCCCAUUCCCACACCUUCCCUUUGUCUCAAGCAGCCAUAUAAGCUGCUCCCCCAGCUCACCCCUUCCAGCAGAAACCUCUUUUGGUGCUGCUCCUGCAUCAAUGUAAUUUUAGCUCAGUAAGCUUGCUCUGCACCACCUUUUGAAUCUGUUUCUUUUAUUUUCAGCACAAGUAUAAUUUAAAAUACAUAUUUUAAAUGCUUAUUAUGUCUUC